GACGAACGCUGGCGGCGUGCUUAACACAUGCAAGUCGAACGGAAAGGCCCUGCUUUUGUGGGGUGCUCGAGUGGCGAACGGGUGAGUAACACGUGAGUAACCUGCCCUUGACUUUGGGAUAACUUCAGGAAACUGGGGCUAAUACCGGAUAGGAGCUCCUGCUGCAUGGUGGGGGUUGGAAAGUUUCGGCGGUUGGGGAUGGACUCGCGGCUUAUCAGCUUGUUGGUGGGGUAGUGGCUUACCAAGGCUUUGACGGGUAGCCGGCCUGAGAGGGUGACCGGCGACAUGGGGACUGAGAUACGGCCCAGACUCCUACGGGAGGCAGCAGUGGGGAAUAUUGCGCAAUGGGCGGAAGCCUGAUGCAGCAACGCCGCGUGCGGGAUGCCGGCCUUCGGGUUGUAAACCGCUUUCGCCUGUGACGAAGCGUGAGUGACGGUAAUGGGUAAAGAAGCACCGGCUAACUACGUG
rnacentral:rRNA from 1 species